ACACACUACUUCAGUAGUUUGAUCCGUGGCUCAGGAGACGCUGGCGGCGUGCCUAACACAUGCAAGUCGAGCGAAGCAUUUUUGAAAAGCUUGCUUUUUUAGAAUGACUUAGCGGCGGACGGGUGAGUAACGCGUGAGCAACCUGGCCUUUACAGGGGGAUAACAGUUGGAAACGACUGCUAAUACCGCAUAACACUUUAGUAUCGCAUGAUAUAGAAGUCAAAGAUUUAUUGGUAAAGGAUGGGCUCGCGUCCCAUUAGCUAGUUGGUAGGGUAACGGCCUACCAAGGCGACGAUGGGUAGCCGACCUGAGAGGGUGAUCGGCCACACUGGAACUGAGACACGGUCCAG
rnacentral:rRNA from 1 species